AGCUCUGAGGUGUUAUACACAUCAGAUUGCAAAUCUGAAGUUGCAGGCUAACACCUGCCGGGGCUU
rnacentral:tRNA from 1 species